GAACGCUGGCGGUAUGCUUAACACAUGCAAGUCGAACGGUAACAUUGGAGCUUGCUCCAGAUGACGAGUGGCGGACGGGUGAGUAAUGCAUAGGAAUCUGCCUAUUAGUGGGGGACAUCAUGUGGAAACGCAUGCUAAUACCGCAUACGCCCUACGGGGGAAAGGGGGGGAUCUUCGGACCUCUCGCUAAUAGAUGAGCCUAUGUUAGAUUAGCUAGUUGGUGAGGUAAUGGCUCACCAAGGCGACGAUCUAUAGCUGGUCUGAGAGGAUGAUCAGCCACACUGGGACUGAGACACGGCCCAGACUCCUACGGGAGGCAGCAGUGGGGAAUAUUGGACAAUGGGCGCAAGCCUGAUCCAGCAAUACCGCGUGUGUGAAGAAGGCCCGAGGGUUGUAAAGCACUUUCAAUAGGGAGGAAUACCUGUUUAGUUAAUAUCGGACACGACNG
rnacentral:rRNA from 1 species